UACAGAGGGGGGCAAGCGUUUGUUCGGAAUUACUGGGCGUAAAGGGCGCGUAGGCGGCCUUCUAAGUCGAACGUGAAAUCCCUGGGCUCAACCCAGGAACUGCGUCCGAUACUGGAAGGCUUGAAUCCGGGAGAGGGAUGCGGAAUUCCAGGUGUAGCGGUGAAAUGCGUAGAUAUCUGGAGGAACACCGGUGGCGAAGGCGGCAUCCUGGACCGGUAUUGACGCUGAGGCGCGAAAGCCAGGGGAGCAAACGGGG
rnacentral:rRNA from 1 species